rnacentral:lncRNA from 1 species
AAUUUGAUCUUAAGUUGAACCCUACCGUGUAAUUGCAUAUCAUUAGGGACAGCAAACAUGCGAGGUUUGUUUGCAUGCCUUUUUUGCACAUUUCUGGUGGCGUCGUUGCUAUCGGACCUUUCAGAAGAAGCUGUAGGAGUUGAAGAAGUGCGCCUGCACCAAGAACUCUGCCACUAUGGGAAAUAUAGAAUUGAAGAUGGCAAAAGCCUCGCACUUACAAGCCCCUGCGUACGGUUGACCUGCGAAUCACUCAAUGCGAGUUACGCCAAUGUGUUUAUUGCUGGAUGCGGUGUGGUGGCGCUAGGCGAGGAGGUUCCAAACCGUUGCAAGAUAAGAAAGCCAAGGAGGCCCAAACCUUAUCCGGGUUGCUGCCCCAGAAUUGUUUGCAGAAGAAAACGUAAAGUCAACUCAAAGGCGGAAUGAUACGGCUUUACAUUUUUGCCACAAAUUAUCUUCCAAUUGCAAAAUAAAAAGUGUGAGCAGGGUGUUU